rnacentral:rRNA from 1 species
UACGAAGGGUGCAAGCGUUACUCGGAAUUACUGGGCGUAAAGCGUGCGUAGGUGGUUUGUUAAGUCUGAUGUGAAAGCCCGGGGCUCAACCUGGGAAUUGCAUUGGAUACUGGCAAGCUAGAGUGCGGUAGAGGAUGGCGGAAUUCCCGGUGUAGCAGUGAAAUGCGUAGAGAUCGGGAGGAACAUCUGUGGCGAAGGCGGCCAUCUGGACCAGCACUGACACUGAGGCACGAAAGCGUGGGGAGCAAACAGG